rnacentral:rRNA from 1 species
AAUGCUUUGGGGUGGGGUGACUGCGUACCUUUUGUAUAAUGGGUCAGCGACUUAUAUUCUGUAGCAAGGUUAACCGAAUAGGGGAGCCGGAGGGAAACCGAGUCUUAAUUGGGCGUUAAGUUGCAGGGUAUAGACCCGAAACCCGGUGAUCUAGCCAUGGGCAGGUUGAAGGUUGGGUAACACUAACUGGAGGACCGAACCGACUAAUGUUGAAAAAUUAGCGGAUGACCUGUGGCUGGGGGUGAAAGGCCAAUCAAACCGGGAGAUAGCUGGUUCUCCCCGAAAGCUAUUUAGGUAGCGCCUCGUGAAUUCAUCUCCGGGGGUAGAGCACUGUUUCGGCUAGGGGGCCAUCCCGGCUUACCAACCCGAUGCAAACUGCGAAUACCGGAGAAUGUUAUCACGGGAGACACACGGCGGGUGCUAACGUCCGUCGUGAAGAGGGAAACAACCCAGACCGCCAGCUAAGGUCCCAAAGUCAUGGUUAAGUGGGAAACGAUGUGGGAAGGCCCAGACAGCCAGGAUGUUGGCUUAGAAGCAGCCAUCAUUUAAAGAAAGCGUAAUAGCUCACUGGUCGAGUCGGCCUGCGCGGAAGAUGUAACGGGGCUAAACCAU